GACGAACGCUGGCGGCGUGCCUAAUACAUGCAAGUAGAACGCUGAAGGAGGAGCUUGCUUCUCUGGAUGAGUUGCGAACGGGUGAGUAACGCGUAGGUAACCUGCCUGGUAGCGGGGGAUAACUAUUGGAAACGAUAGCUAAUACCGCAUAAGAGUAGAUGUUGCAUGACAUUUGCUUAAAAGGUGCAAUUGCAUCACUACCAGAUGGACCUGCGUUGUAUUAGCUAGUUGGUGAGGUAACGGCUCACCAAGGCAACGAUACAUAGCCGACCUGAGAGGGUGAUCGGCCACACUGGGACUGAGACACGGCCCAGACUCCUACGGGAGGCAGCAGUAGGGAAUCUUCGGCAAUGGACGGAAGUCUGACCGAGCAACGCCGCGUGAGUGAAGAAGGUUUUCGGAUCGUAAAGCUCUGUUGUAAGAGAAGAACGAGUGUGAGAGUGGAAAGUUCACACUGUGACGGUAUCUUACCAGAAAGGGACGGCUAACUACGU
rnacentral:rRNA from 1 species